rnacentral:sRNA from 1 species
AAAAAUCAAACACAUAAUAGUACAUUGUAUAAUAUAUCUAUAAUAACUCAAUUAAUACAAACAUCAUAACUAGGGGUGUCAAAAUGGGUAAUCAAACUCAACCCAACUCAUAAUCAAAUGAGUUUAGGGUUAAAUGAGUUAUGGGUUGACUCAACCCAUUUAACAAAAUGGGUUAAUCCAUUUAAGUAAUAAUUUAAUUAAUUAUUAUUAUAAAACACUAUUAAAUAAUUAUCAU